CCUACGGGAGGCUGCAGUGGGGGAUAUUGCACAAUGGGGGAAACCCUGAUGCAGCGACGCCGCGUGUGGGAAGACGGUCCUCUGGAUUGUAAACCACUGUCCCCAGGGACGAAGAUGACGGUACCUGUGGAGGAAGCUCCGGCUAACUACGUGCCAGCAGCCGCGGUAAUACGUAGGGAGCGAGCGUUGUCCGGAAUUACUGGGUGUAAAGGGAGCGUAGGCGGGGAUGCAAGUUGGGUGUCAAAACUACCGGCUCAACUGGUAGUCGCACUCAAAACUGCAGCUCUUGAGGGAAGUAGAGGCAGGGGGAAUUCCUAGGGUAGGGGUGAAAUGGGGAGAUAUUAGGAGGAACACCAGUGGCGAAGGCGGCCUGCUGGGCUUUUACUGACGCUGAGGCUCGAAAGUGUGGGGAGCAAACAGGAUGAGAUACCCGAGUAGUC
rnacentral:rRNA from 1 species